ensembl:lncRNA
UGGCUGCUGUGUUGGGACUGUGUUUUGUGCUCAUAUGUUACUUGGUCAUUUUAAUUUACCAAGACAGGAACCACAAACAUGACAAAGCCAAUGCCAACCAUAGAGGCUACAACAAUAGAGAUGACCUUGAUCAUAUUACUGAACAGAUGCCAAUCUUGAUGAUUCCAGAUGGAAAUGUCUGCACAUCUGUUAUCUACAAAAUCAAGAACCUCUAAGUGUCUGCAAAGCAAUGAAAUGCUGCCCUUUCAGCUUUCAUAUCUGCUACCUGCUCCACCAAGUUAUCCACCAAGACACGCACACAUGCACACACGCACACACUCA